UUUCGCAAUGCCCGAAAGGGUGACGAAGCGACGCCGCGUGGGUGAGGAAGGCCUUCGGGUUGUAAAGCCCUGUCAGGAGUUAAGAAAUGUAGAUACGCUAAUAUCGUAUCUAUUUGACAAAGGCUCCAAAGGAAGCCACGGCUAACUCUGUGCCAGCAGCCGCGGUAAUACAGAGGUGGCAAGCGUUGUUCGGAAUUAUUGGGCGUAAAGAGCACGUAGGUGGAUUUGUAAGUCAGACGUGAAAGCCUUCUGUUCAACGGAAGAAUUGCAUCUGAAACUGCAAACCUUGAGUAUAGGAGGGGAGAAUGGAACUUCUGGUGGAGCGGUGAAAUGCGUAGAUAUCAGAAGGAACGCCGGCGGCGAAAGCGAUUCUCUGGCCUAUUACUGACACUCAGUGUGCGAAAGCUAGGGGAGCAAACGGGAUUAGAUACCCCGGUAGUCCUAGCCGUAAACGAUGGGCACUAAGUAGAGGGGUUUUA
rnacentral:rRNA from 1 species